rnacentral:rRNA from 1 species
CCUACGGGAGGCUGCAGUGGGGAAUAUUGGACAAUGGGCGAAAGCCUGAUCCAGCCAUGCCGCGUGUGUGAAGAAGGCCUUCGGGUUGUAAAGCACUUUCAGUGGGGAAGAAAGCCUUGGGGCUAAUACCCUCGAGGAAGGACAUCACCCACAGAAGAAGCACCGGCUAACUCCGUGGCAGCAGCCGCGGUAAUACGGAGGGUGCGAGCGUUAAUCGGAAUUACUGGGCGUAAAGCGCGCGUAGGCGGUCUGAUAAGCCGGUUGUGAAAGCCCCGGGCUCAACCUGGGAACGGCAUCCGGAACUGUCAGGCUAGAGUGCAGGAGAGGAAGGUAGAAUUCCCGGUGUAGCGGUGAAAUGCGUAGAGAUCGGGAGGAAUACCAGUGGCGAAGGCGGCCUUCUGGACUGACACUGACGCUGAGGUGCGAAAGCGUGGGUAGCAAACAGGAUUAGAUACCCCUGUAGUC